rnacentral:rRNA from 1 species
UCCUGGCCGUAAACGAUGUGGACUUGGUAUUGGGAUGGCUACGAGCUGUCCCAGUGUCGUAGGGAAGCCGUUAAGUCCACCGCCUGGGGAGUACGGUCGCAAGGCUGAAACUUAAAGGAAUUGGCGGGGGAGCACCGCAACGGGAGGAGCGUGCGGUUUAAUUGGAUUCAACGCCGGAAAGCUUACCGGGGGAGACUGCCGUAUGUGGGCCAGGCUGAAGACCUUGCCCGAAC